UACGAAGGGGGCUAGCGUUGCUCGGAAUUACUGGGCGUAAAGGGCGCGUAGGCGGAUGGUACAGUCAGAUGUGAAAUUCCUGGGCUCAACCUGGGGGCUGCAUUUGAUACGUGCUGUCUUGAGUUCGGAAGAGGGUCGUGGAAUUCCCAGUGUAGAGGUGAAAUUCGUAGAUAUUCGGAAGAACACCAGUGGCGAAGGCGACUACCUGGUCUGGCAUUGACGCUCAUGUGCGAAAGCGUGGGGAGCAAACAGG
rnacentral:rRNA from 1 species